UAAAGGGCAAACUCAUCGUGAGGUGGGGACGCAAAGCCACGGGACUCACUGAGUCCGCCGGGCUGCCG
rnacentral:ncRNA from 1 species